AGAGGGAGGGCGCUUAUGCGAAAGGUUCCCUCCAAAAAUUGUCCUCAAGUUGCCAAAAAAUAAUUCUUUUCUGGCUUUUUCCCUGAUUUCGAGUUUAUUAACGAUUUCAAGCGUUGUUGUAUGUUUUUAGAUACACACCUUUUUAUAAGAACACUCGGCUCCAGCUGCAGCCUUUCGUUUCUUAACUUUUCGGAUAAUUCCGGCCUCACGUGUUUCCUAUUUUUUCUUAUUUUGUAAUAGAACUUCCUGUGCAUAGAAGUGUCCGGACACAAAAAGUGCCUGAUAAAGCAAUUAAAGCCACUCUCAAGGAAUUUGUACUUUUACCUGUAGUUCCUGCAGUCCUGUUGCUAUCUUUUUAUCUUUCAAUUUUUGCUGGUAUCUUUUUGCUUGAGUUUUGUUGAAUCUCAGCCUGCCUUGUUUCUUAUGUCGUUCUUUUUUGGGCAAAUCUCAGCCUGAGAUUUCUUAUAAGGGUCCAGUUAUUUCUAAUAGCCCCGCUAGUUUCAAACUCUCAGCAUUCAGCAACUACCAAAACUGGUUGCGUCUAUUCAGUUAUGUUGUCUAUUCUACAUCCGAGCCCCAAAAGGGGAGGUCUUAGUGAAUAAAACUAAAAAAUACAUUAAAACUUUAAUUUUCAGAAGCCCAAUAAAUAAGGUAAACAAUUUAAAGAGGUUUCUUGAAAUCUCUUUAUAGGGCUAGUAAUGCCUCUCAGAAUGGGUGGCCAUGCCUGGCUUAUUUUCUUAUCUAAAUUAAACUGAGGACUGGGCUGUCCUACAAAUGAUAUUUGAUAAUUGUCUUGAUUGGGAUUUUUCUUGAUUUUCUAUCUUUCCUUAAAUCUCAAAUGUAAUAGGUCUCUAGUCUGGGUACAUAAAAGGGGAGCAAAUAACAGGUUUCUCAUAUAAGCCCCAUCAUUUGCCCUAAGUGUUUAUCUCUUUAAAGUGCAUAUGACACGAAAAUUUUUAUUCGCCCCCAUCACGUAAUCGAGUAUGCUGAUCACGAAAAUCACCAUAAAAUUUUCGAAAAACAAACACUUUCGUAAUUACAGCUGUUUCAAGGUCGAUUUUUGCUUCAAAUUCUGUCAUAAGGGAUUGGGUCGAGUUUGACAGGAAGUGACGUAAAGUGGUUGUGUUAGCGAAAAUUUAGAUUGCUAACUAACAAGAAGUUAUACGGCGGAGUUUUACUUGAGAGUCUAUGAACAUGUCUCACGGCAAAUAUUCAAGCUCAAGGGCGUCAGCUUUUGACGAAAGUGAAGGGGAAUAGCUUUUGAUGCUGAUGGGCUAUUUUUGCCUUGCAAGAACGAACCAGUCUUUUUUCUGCGGAUAAUUCAGACGCGGAACCAGGCAUAGCUGGCAUGGCUCGAAGCUUUCAUGACCGGGCAGAGGACGAAGAUGGAAUACAAAAAUCCCAACAGCGUGAUCGAUGGCGAGGAAUUAUUACUUUGAGUCAAUGAUAUCUCUGUGCAAUGGCAUACAGUCUUGGUGUCUGUCAGAGACAAACGUAGAUACUUCAAUUCCAGAACUUCUGAGAGAUUCAAAACCUUGUUGAUGCCAAAGCAACUCCAUCUGUGCAGAGCUUCCGUUAACGCUGCUUGCCUGUGAAGAACAAGGAACACAAAUUUCAAUGUUUACAUUUAACAACAAACAUGAUCCAAGAUUAAUUUUUUGGUCUUUGACCAAGGCUGACCAGGUCAAAGACCACCAUUUCUGUUAUACAGAAACGACUGAGUCCGUGAUUUAAUUGAAAGUUUUUAUAUCAUGUUUUGUUACUUGGUGACUUCUGUUUAUUGUUAAUCGAUUCUCACUUGCAUCUUGAAUCUUUAUCCCAUAGAAUAUCAUUUCCCUGCUUCUUAAAUAUUUCUUGAAUUGCCAACCCCCUGCUUUUUUAGUUUCCAAAACCUUUUUCGCUUUUGUAUAAAAUAUUGAAGUAGUUUACAUUUGUUUAAAUGGUUUAUUUUUAUGUAUUAAAAACGGUGAUAUGGACUCCACACAGAGAGACAAGGAGUCCCUUUUUUCCAUAAAGCGAGUGCCCCCGGUGUUGUCGAGUCAUUACCAAUAACGUAUCUCAGCUGUUACACAAUAGAACGUUGUUAGGCAGUUAUAAAAAAACAAUAGGAAACUUAUUACUCA